UUUGCCAAGGUUACUGAAGAAUCUAUUAAAGUGAUGAUGGAAUCAGGUUGUGAAGAGGUAUGCUGUCAAUAUAAGAGUUUUAUGCCUUAAAUUAUAAAUUUUAUUAUGACAAUUAGUCCUUCUUGCUUUCUCAUCUCUUUGUGCCUAAAGCUGAAACUGAAUACUAUGAAAACAGAAAUUAAGAUAUGUACAUUAUAGAUGAGGUGGUUCAUUUUGGAUAAUGCUAUGAAAACAGAAUAAGUUUUGGCCCAAAGAAAAUGAUAUGUUAUACUAGUAACAAUAGCUUUUCUUGGAUAUAUUCCACGCUAAAAACCUACAGCAACCAUUUAUAUGUGUUCUCAAUGAUUAUAAAUACUGUCAUGUUAUUUACUUUGUUUUGGUUCUCCAGUGUGAGCAGUUCAUUGCUAAUAGCAUGGAUGUGCUUCAAAUGCCACUUAUUCAUUAUUUAUCAGACACAAAAAUUUGGUAUGCACUGCCUAUCAAAAGUCUGCAAAGAAAAUCUAAAAUUUGAGAAAACACUUAUAUUAAAUACACUGUUUUUGUUAUUAUUGUAUAGUGUACAACUGAUGAUACUACAUUAUACUUCAUACUGCACACAAAAAUGCAUUUUAGAAACUCAUGCAUUAUUUUUACGAAGACCACCUUUCCACUUCACAUUUCAAUUUUAAAUCACCUUCUGUUAAUAAAGUUCUAAUCAUACUAUGCCAAGUAAAUUUAAUGGAGAACUUCACAUUUAUGUCCAUGUUUGUAUUCUAGUUUUGUCCAUGUUUUUAUUCUAGAAUACUUGUACAUCAUAUAUAUUAAGACAGCUUGGCGGCUGCCACAUUAACCCCAUAAAUAGAUUUUUGGCAACCUAUAAACAUCAAAAUGCGACAUUUGUGUUAGGUACUUGACUUUCAGAAAAAAAAAA